UACGGAGGGUGCAAGCGUUAUCCGGAUUCACUGGGUUUAAAGGGUGCGUAGGCGGGCAGGUAAGUCCGUGGUGAAAUCUCUGAGCUUAACUCAGAAACUGCCAUGGAUACUAUUUGUCUUGAAUAUUGUGGAGGUAAGCGGAAUAUGUCAUGUAGCGGUGAAAUGCUUAGAUAUGACAUAGAACACCAAUUGCGAAGGCAGCUUACUAAACAGUUAUUGACGCUGAGGCACGAAAGCGUGGGGAUCAAACAGG
rnacentral:rRNA from 1 species